rnacentral:rRNA from 1 species
UACGUAGGGGGCUAGCGUUGUCCGGAUUUAUUGGGCGUAAAGAGCUCGUAGGCGGCUUGUCGCGUCUGCUGUGAAAACUCGGGGCUUAACUCCGGGCCUGCAGUGGGUACGGGCAGACUAGAGUGCGGUAGGGGAGACUGGAAUUCCUGGUGUAGCGGUGAAAUGCGCAGAUAUCAGGAGGAACACCGGUGGCGAAGGCGGGUCUCUGGGCCGUAACUGACGCUGAGGAGCGAAAGCGUGGGGAGCGAACAGG